rnacentral:misc_RNA from 1 species
GAUGAAGAACGUAGCGAAAUGCGAUAAGUAAUGUGAAUUGCAGAAUUCAGUGAAUCAUCGAAUCUUUGAACGCACAUUGCGCCCGCCAGUAUUCUGGCGGGCAUGCUUGUUCGAGCGUCAUUACAACCCUCAGGCCCCCGGGCCUGGCGUUGGGGAUCGGCGGAAGCCCCCUGCGGGCACAACGCCGUCCCCCAAAUACAGUGGCGGUCCCGCUGCAGCUUCCAUUGCGUAGUAGCUAACACCUCGCAACUGGAGAGCGGCGCGGCCACGCCGUAAAACACCCAACUUCUGAAUGUUGACCUCGAAUCAGGUAGGAAUACCCGCUGAACUUAAGCAUAUCAAUAAGCGGAGGA